UCCCUGGUGGUCCAGUGGUUAGAACCCUACACUGUCACUGUGGGAGACGCAGGUUCAAUCCCUGGCCAGGGAA